rnacentral:lncRNA from 1 species
UUCUGAGAAGAGACCUUGAUGAAAUGAAGAUUUAUGGGAACAGAGAUUUUGAAAACACGUCGCAGUGUUUAGAUUUUAACAAAAAUAAGGCAACAAGGUCGAAAAUAGUUCUAGUUCAUAAUGAAGAAAAUGUCAACCGUUUUCUAGCUUGGCGAUCUCCGCACGCACCCGAAUAUAAUAGACAAACACAAUACAAUAGUACGCAAAACGUAAGAGAAAAAACUAAAGACCGAGCAACACGAACUCUCAACAAAACGGUAUAUAUUUCAUACAAGUAUAGAACUAUAUGAAGCGUCGUAACUGUUGCGGCGACGUCAAUAACAUUGUCGUUGUUUUUUGUUUUUUUACACUCAAGAUUCAACUUUAACAGAGUAUAGCUUGAAAAGUAGCACGGUUGCUAAGGACUUUCUUUGCACCAAUCGAUUCCUCAGACAUUUUAGAAUCGUCUUAUAAUUUUAAAAAAAAAUCGAUUGUCAAAUAUAAUAGAAAAUCUUGGAAAUGUAACAAUUCCUGUCGAAUUUCACGAUUUUCCCUAUAUAUCCUUUGUAAUUUUGGUGUAUGAUGCUGUUAACUUCAACAGCUCGUAUCUCAAAAACGAAAACGGUUACCCCCUUUUUUUAUUUUAUUUUCCGAUUUAUUUUUACAAGCAGAAUCUACAUGUAAAAUUUUUAAAAUAUCCAUUGUGUAGUUUAAUUACGUACACUUCGCCUUAAGGGAACAAAU